rnacentral:rRNA from 1 species
UACGGAGGAGGCAAGCGUUAUCCGGAAUUAUUGGGCGUAAAGCGUCCGCAGGUGGCACUUCAAGUCUGUCGUCAAAGACUGGGGCUUAACCCUGGAAAGGCGGUGGAAACUGAAGCGCUAGAGUCCGGAAGAGGCGAGUGGAAUUCCUGGUGUAGCGGUGGAAUGCGCAGAUAUCAGGAGGAACACCAAUAGCGAAGGCAGCUCACUGGGACGGUACUGACGCUAAGGCGCGAAAGCGUGGGGAGCGAACAGG